UAGCAUGGUAGGUAUUUUUUUCUAAGAAAGGUGGCAACCUUAUUCAUACACCCAUAAAAAACAAAUUAACCGCAUGAUACAAGUCUGAAUAUAUUUAACCAAACGGUUUAGAUGAUCUACCCUGUUAUCAUCAGAGCGCAUAUUGAGAACUUAUAUAUUAAAGAAAUGUUUAGAAGAUUUAUUCCUUUCUAUUGUGUCUAAGGCUGCGGCAGAAUUCCUUAGAACUGGCACAGAGUAUUUGGAGGAUUUAACAAUUGAACUGUGGAAUAAUAAUUUUUGGUUAUUGCUGUGGUGUACUUUAAUGGCGUAGGAACUAAACUGCUGUAUACAGCAGAUUGCCAUUUUAACAAUGGCCAUAUUAUAAUAAUGUUUUGCAAGUCCUGAUUGAUGUAUUGCAUUGCCUGUUUGCACUUUUUAAUGGUGUGGAAGGACAAUAUUACUGUAGAAAUUAGACUUUUUAACAGUAGGAGACCUAAUUUGACGUAGAAUCACUUGAUUGUAUGUUGAGUUCUGAGAACCAUCUCUGAUUUAUGCAUGAAAUUUGUUUACCACUUGUUUAGAAUUUGAAUACGCUUAAAGGAGUGUUUAGGCGGCUCAUCUAGUUAUAUUGCAUUUAGGGAUAUUCCUAUCAAACUGCAUUUUGUAUUCCGUAACUAUAAUAUCUGCAAUCUGAGCGCCCUUUCAAGGGACACUCUGGUCACCAUAGCACCUUAAAAUAUACUGAUGCCAUUCUGGGGUCAAGAAGGAAUUUUUUUCCUAGCAUGUUGCAAAAUUGUGCUUCAAACUGAUUUUUUUUGCCUUUUUUUGCCUUCUUUUGGAUCAACAGCAAAAAACAAAUGUGAGGAAGGCUGAACUUGAUGGACGCAAGUCUCUUGUCAGCUAUGUAACUAUGUAACUAUGGUGUCAUGAAGAACCAGGUGCACUCUUACCUUAAGCGGUUAAAGCGUUCAAGAAACAUACCAUUUUUAUCAGUGGCCAAUCUACUAAUUGGCUUAGAGCGUCAGUUGACCGUUAUAACCCAAGAAGCAGCGCCUCUGCCCAGUGGCACUCAGCGCUUCCUGAAAAUGAUAUUCAAAGGCUGGAUGCCACUAGACCUGCAGAUUGGCGUGGGAGGCUCACUUUGGGGUUAAACUGAGAACAGUUUAGCCCCUUAAGGUAAGAGUGCGUCUGGGGGCCUGAUGGCAACAUAACAACUUUAGAUGAAGAUUUUAUGGUGACCGGAGUGUCCUUUUUAGGGCUACUAUCAAAAUAGUAACUUGUUAAUCCAUUUGAAAAGGUGUAUUCAUUCCUUUGUGAUUACCCAUGAAAUAAAGCGUG